UACGUAGGGUGCAAGCGUUGUCCGGAAUUAUUGGGCGUAAAGAGCUCGUAGGCGGUUUGUCGCGUCUGCUGUGAAAACUCGGGGCUUAACCCCGGGCCUGCAGUGGGUACGGGCAGACUAGAGUGCGGUAGGGGAGACUGGAAUUCCUGGUGUAGCGGUGAAAUGCGCAGAUAUCAGGGGGAACACCGGUGGCGAAGGCGGGUCUCUGGGCCGUAACUGACGCUGAGGAGCGAAAGCGUGGGGAGCGAACAGG
rnacentral:rRNA from 1 species